UGCACGUCGAACGAGGCAGCGGCCUUCGGACCGUUGUCGAGUGGCGAACGGGUGAGUAACACGUGAGGAACCUGCCCCGGAGACCGGGAUAACCUGGGGAAACCCGGGCUAAUACCGCAUGACGUGCGGCCAUCGCAUGGUGGCGGCACCAAAGGGGGGCCUCUACUUGUAAGCUCUCGCCCAGGGAGGAGGUCGCGGCGUAUCAUCUGGUUGGUGGGGUAACGGCCCACCAAGGCGACGACGCGUAGCGGGUCUGAGAGGACGAUCCGUCACAUUGGGACUGAGAUACGGCCCACACUCCUACGGGAGGCAGCAGUGGGGAAUAUUGCGCAAUGGUCGAAAGACUGACGCAGCGACGCCGCGUGUGGGAGGAAGCCUUUCGGGGUGUAAACCACUGUCAGGUGGGAAGAAACGCGCACGUCCAAACAGGGCGUGCGCUUGACGGUACCACCAGAGGAAGCGCCGGCUAACUCCGUGCCAGCAGCCGCGGUAAGACGGAGGGCGCGAGCGUUGUUCGGAAUUACUGGGCGUAAAGCGCGGGCAGGUGGUCCGCUAAGUCUUUUGUGAAACUCCGGGGCUCAACCCGGACAUGCAGGAGAUACUGGCGGACUAGAGACCGGUAGAGGCCAGUGGAAUUCCUGGUGUAGCGGUGGAAUGUGUAGAUAUCAGGAAGAACACCGGUGGCGAAGGCGGCUGGCUGGGCCGUGUCUGACACUCAUCCGCGAAAGCGUGGGGAGCACACAGGAUUAGAUACCCUGGUAGUCCACGCCGUAAACGAUGGGCACUAGGUGCCGGGCCUAUAGACGGGUUCGGUGCCGGAGCUAACGCAUUAAGUGCCCCGCCUGGGGACUACGGCCGCAGGGCUGACACUCAAAGGAAUUGACGGGGGGCCCGCACAAGCGGUGGAGCAUGU
rnacentral:rRNA from 1 species